rnacentral:piRNA from 1 species
CCUGAAGUGAGAUUCUGCCAAGACCUUGAU